rnacentral:rRNA from 1 species
CCUACGGGAGGCAGCAUUGGGGAAUCUUGGACAAUGGGGGCAACCCUGAUCCAGCCAUGCCGCGUGAGUGAAGAAGGCCCUAGGGUCGUAAAACUCUUUCGCCCGUGAUGAUAAUGACAGUAGCAGGUAAAGAAACCCCGGCUAACUCCGUGCCAGCAGCCGCGGUAAUACGGAGGGGGUUAGCGUUGUUCGGAAUUACUGGGCGUAAAGCGCACGUAGGCGGAUUAG